GACGAACGCUGGCGGCGUGCUUAACACAUGCAAGUCGAACGGAGUGGCGAACGGGUGAGUAAUACGUGGGGGAUCUGCCUUGGACUGCGGGAUAAGCUUGGGAAACUGAGGCUAAUACCGGAUAGUGCAAGAUGAGCUCGCGGCCGAUCAGCUUGUUGGUGGGGUAAUGGCCUACCAAGGCGUCGACGGGUAGCCGGCCUGGGAGGGUGUACGGCGACAUGGGGACUGAGCUAGGCCCCAGAUUCGUACGGGAGGCAGCAGUGGGGAAUAUUGCACAAUGGUCGGAAGCCUGUUGCAGCGACGCCGCGUGGGGGAUGAAGGCUUUGGGGUUGUAAACUCCUUUCGACAGGGACGCGGUACCUGUAUAAGAAGCACCGGCUAACUACGUGCCAGCAGCCGCGGUAAUAC
rnacentral:rRNA from 1 species